GGUAGUCCACGCCGUAAACGAUGAGAACUAGGUGUCGGGGGUAUCGACCCCCUCGGUGCCGAAGCUAACGCGAUAAGUUCUCCGCCUGGGGACUACGGCCGCAAGGCUAAAACUCAAAGGAAUUGACGGGGGGCCCGCACAAGCAGCGGAGCGUGUGGUUUAAUUCGACGCAACGCGAAGAACCUUACCUGGGCUUGACAUGCACGUGGUACCGCGGCGAAAAGCCCAAGGGACCCGCGAGGGGAGCGUGCACAGAUGCUGCAUGGCUGUCGUCAGCUCGUGUCGUGAGAUGUUGGGUUAAG
rnacentral:rRNA from 1 species